rnacentral:siRNA from 1 species
CGGUAGCUGCUGAAUCUUCUA